UACGGAGGGUGCGAGCGUUGUCCGGAAUCACUGGGCGUAAAGGGCGCGUAGGCGGUCUGUUAAGCGUGUGGUGAAAGCUCGGGGCUCAACCCCGAGUCUGCCAUGCGAACUGGUGGACUUGAGCACUGUAGAGGCAGGUGGAAUUCCGGGUGUAGCGGUGGAAUGCGUAGAGAUCCGGAAGAACACCGGUGGCGAAGGCGGCCUGCUGGGCAGUUGCUGACGCUGAGACGCGACAGCGUGGGGAGCAAACAGG
rnacentral:rRNA from 1 species